GCCUGGGUGGCUCAGUCGGUUAAGCGUCUGAUUUUGGCUCAGGUCAUGAUCUCACGGUUCGUGAGUUCGAGCCCCACAUUGGGCC
rnacentral:tRNA from 1 species